AACGUGACCACUGAGGCAGAGAGAGAUUUGAGGACAUUGACACUGAAAAUUACAGUGAUGCAGUCACAGGCCACAGAGCACCAGCAACCCCCAGAAGCUGGAAGAGGACGGAGAGACUCCAUAGGACUUUCUUAUAUGACUUACUCUGAAGAAAUGGAAAAACAAUCACAUUUCUCUGGCUUCUCAUAAAUUCUUGGAGGUUGUACACAGAGCCCUAAAUCGUGGCCCUCUAGGUAUUGUCCUAGGCAUUGCAGACAGAACAAGGGACCAAACAAAGCUACCUCCUUUGAUUCCCUCAUGGCACUUACUCUGCAGUGUGGGGAAAUAGACAACUGAAAAACAGAG